rnacentral:lncRNA from 1 species
ACCCCUUUCAGGGCUCCCACAGGAACCCAGCGUGAUUCUAGUCUCUCCCGUCCUGCACUGUGUUCAAAGAAUUCACUGCUACAUCCCCGCUGGCCCCCGGAAGCAGGGCAGCAUCUUACUCGCUGUCCAGCUCCACGGCCCUCACUGAGCUUGACUUUGCAAAUAUUUGAUUGUUUGCUACGUUGGGUGGGGUGGUGGGUAAUGCAAAAUUCAAUCCUUUGGCUUUGAAGGGCCCAGGACUGCCCAGCCCAGGUGCUGGGCAGCCAGUGUGGCCUCCUUGUUUGUCUGGGUCAGAACAGGGAAAAUGGAUUUCUGUGGGUGCUGGUGUAGGGGUGGGGUUGCCUCCACUGAGAGGGACAGACUGGGAACUUGAGCAAAGGCCUGGUUCUCCCGAGGCUGUGUUCUCAGGCUGCUGCAGAGGUCAGGGGUGCCCAGAUCUGAGCGGGGGCCGGAGCACAUGGCUGCAGGCUAGAGAGCCUGUGUGCUAGAGCCGCAGACCCAGGUUCAAGUAUAACCUCUCUCUCUCUUUUGCUCUUUUUGGGGCCGUACCCGGGGCAUGUGGAGGUUCCCAGGCUAGGGGUCGAAUCGGAGCUGCAUCUGCAGCCUACACCACAGCUCACGGCAACGCUGGCUCCUUAACCCACUGAGCGAGGCCAGGGAGCGAACCCACAUCCUCAUGGAUACUAGUUGGGUUUGUAACUGGCUGAGCCCCAACAGGAACUUCCACCUCUGUCUCUUCUUAUUAUCUGUGAGAUGCUGGGCACAUUGCUCACUAAAAUCUCUAAGCCUCAGUUACCCCACCUAAAAAAUGAGGAUAACAGUAUUUAGCCACGUCUCAGGGUCAUGGAAAGAGAAGAUGAGAGGGGACGUGUGACGUGCUUGGUGCGGGGUGCUGUACAGGCUCAAGUUAGUGUCACCUGGCUUCGUUGCCACUUCCCUAAGGGAGGGCCCCCGGCAGAGCAGGCGGCACAGUGCAGCCAGCCUGUUCCAGGCUCACCGUCUCUCCAAUCAGGUCAGUUCUUCCAUCGCCCAGCCCAUGGCUUUUUAAACACAUUAACUAUUUUUCAGUUAAGUUUCAGGUCUGUCCCCACCUGGGGGUCUUUGCUGGUUGCUGGUCCCUUGGCCGGGAAGGACCUGUCCCAGACAGUAAAUAGCUGAUCCCUCUUGAGUGAGGUCGUGAACCAUAAAUGCAGGUGCAGCGCUACAGGCGCAAGGCCGAGCCGCACCACCCCACCCGGGCUGCCCCGGCCCCCGUGUUGUCCCUCGCCUGUCGGCACAGCAUUUCUGGGUUUCUCCCCCUCAUUCACUCCCACUCACUCAUUACUGCCGUGCUUCUAGAACAGGAGUUCAUCAGAGGAAGGGCUUGGCUAGCGCGCUGCUGCUCCCAGCGUGGAAUGGAUGCUCAGUUCUGCCUCUGCGGGAACACGCUGUCCAGGGCCUUCUUCUCCAGGGAGCCAAACCGUGUCUCAGGGAUGGCGGGUGUCUUCGUCCAGGAGCCACUUUCAGGCUUGAGGACCCUGCGGAUGAGGCCACUGUUUCUGCUUGGCCGGGCGCGCAUUCGUUUUCACUGAACCGUGGCUUCCCAGCUGAAGCGGUCAAGCCUAGCGGUUCAGACCACGGCGGGAAGACACUUAAAUCCGGGUUUAAAUGCAGCUUCUGCAACGUGCCAGCCGUGCACAUCUUGGGAAGGUAUUUAACCUCGUAAAGCCUUCGUUUCUUAGGCUGUAAAGUGGGGAAUCAUACCGAGUUGUGGCGAUUCAAUAAAAUGAUACCAGUAAAGCACAAAGCACAGGAGGUGGCACCUAGAAAUGCUGCGGAAACUCUUCCUAUUUCAGUAAGAUCUGAAGGGGAGGGGGGGAGGCAGUGACUGGUUUCCUGGGGCGGUCACUGAAGUAUCUGUGAUCACUAUUUUAAAAUAGCCUUGCCGUGUGACCUUUGACCUUUAGCCCUCUCUGCUGCUGCUGAGGUUCCCCGGGGGAACCUGAGGUGCUGCAGAAGCCCUACCCCCGGGGUCAUUCGCUGCGGCUUCUGCAAGAUAAACAGAAACCACAAUCGAGUCUGCUGCUCUUUACAGAAGCUAGUUUUAGAGUCCUGGCUUCAUAAUAACCCUGGUACCACUUCCUCUUUUGCCCCCACUCUUCCUUUGGUGGUUUAGUUACAAAAGGACAAGUCAACCUAAGACACUAUAUAAGUCAUCCACCAGCGAUGGAAUCGGGUGGUGAGAUCUGAAGCUGAGAAAAGGUCUGAGUCCAGCUGCAUCCCUUGCUGCUGAGGAAGUUAAUGGACCUCUUUGGUUUCCAGAAGUCCCAGGGAUCCCGGGACAUUCAGGACACAGACGCCGCCCCCCCCCCCAACCAGACAGCCCCCUCUGGCUGGGCUGUGGCCUGGACUGGGGACAGUCACACAUACCAUGCCCAUCAGCUUCAGGAGUGGAUGGCAAACACCGCCGAGUGGAAAGUAACUACAGGACAGAAGGACAGAGGAGGGAAGGGAACCCAGGAAGCCGCACCCACUGCUCUAUUAAAAAGGCUCUGGUGGCAGCGAGGACUUGAGGGGGACAGUCAGGGAAAAGCAGAAAUCCAGGGGAAGGGAUGGGAGGGGAGACUGGUGGGGGUGGGGCUGGGAGGAGAGGUCACAGGGGUCCCGCCCUAGCCUGGCUCACCCAGGGAGGGGCAGGGGACUCGAUCCCCGCCCCCCGCCCCCACACACACAAGGCUCUCUGAUCAGCCUCUGGGCAACUCUUGCUCGUCCUUGGACCUCGGACCCCCUCCCAAACACCGAUCUCCCUCCGAUCAGGGCGGGUCUGGACCCUCCUUGCGGUCCUCACACCUAGCCCCACCUCCAAACCUCAGUCUGCCCUGAGCUUGAUUCAGCCAGAGCCGGAUGAUGAAGGUGCGUGUGUGCUGAUGACCUUGACAAGCCGUUUGUUUCUUCACCAGCCUUUUCUUGCCUUUUCAACAGAGGCAAAGGCUAAGAGAUGUGUUUGCAGUUGGUGGUGGUACGAUCUCUGCUUAGCCAAGCUCUUUUAAAUCUGCUUCCUCCGGAAAACAGCAGCUCCAGGUGCCGAGCUCUCUGCCUUAAACGAGGAGAAGCCGCCCUCUGCUGGUCACACUUGGUAAUGCCACACACUGCCUUGGAGAAACAGGAGCUGCCUCCCUCGACUCCCCCAGAGAAAGUGGGCAAUCCUUGAAAUGUUAAAAGCUGCGGUUUUCCCUCUCCCCUUUUCUCCUUUAUUCAUUUUCUUCCCUAGUGCCGGUCCUCUCCCAUGCCUGCCGAAAUUCCAACUGUGGACGCUGAAUGUCUCUUGAAAGCUUACCCUAUGUGUUGGAUAAAAUUUCAUCUCAGAAGACAAGAAAAAGGUUAACAAUUAUAGGAGAGGAGACAGAAAAUAAUUACCAAAUUCUCAGAACUCAGACGCAGCACCAGGGUUCCAUAGGUUUAGAACUGAUCAUUUAUUUCAAUGUAACAUAGAAAUAAUUAUCCCUGGAGGGGGCCUGUCUCCUCUUUAACACACAAGUGAAUGAAUUUAUUAAUCACUGAUAUUUAACAGGAAGGCGUGAGCAUUGCUAUUUGUGGCUGGAUUUGGUUAAACUUGAGUCUUCUGGUAAAACUUGGCUUUUGGUCUGGGCCUGCGUGGCUGGCAUGGCCUGACGGCUCCCAUGCCUCUGACAACCUUGACUUAUUCCUCAUGCCCAGGUCCAGAGCUCGGAUCAAGGCUUUUAAUGUCUGGUUUUAUCCCGAUCAUGUUAAAUAAUUUAAACUAUAAAAGAUACCCAGGGCUUCCCAUUGUAGCUCAGCAGGUUAAGAACCCAGCUAUAUCCAUGUGGAUGCAGGUUCGAUCCCUGGACUUGCUCAGCGGCUUGGGGAUUCGGCGUUGCCACAAGCUGCAGUGUAGGUCACAGAUGCAGCUUGGAUCUGGCAUUACGUGGCUGUGGUGUGGGUCGGCAGCUGUAGCUUUGAUUCAGCCUCUAGCCUGGGAAUUUCCAUAUGCCCACAGACCUCAAAAACAACAAAAACUCCUUAAAGAUGGGCAGGCCCCCUUAGGGCUCCCAGACUCAAACACAGAAGGUGGUCUGUUUGUAAAAGAGACAUGAAUUUUUGGAGGGUUGGACUAAUUUAGUCUUUAAAGUCCUUCUAAGCUGAGCAGCUAUAAUGAAAGGCAGCAAGAGAUCGAGUUCCUUUUAAUUUGCCGUGUGCCUUUGGCCAAAUCGUCCCAUCUCCAGGCCCUUCACUGUAACAGGAAGGGGUUGAUGUGACUGAUUUCCCAGUCCCUCCCAGCUCACAAGUCUCAUGAUGAUGUGUAAGUGUCUAGAAAAAAAAAAAAAAAAAA